rnacentral:rRNA from 1 species
AUGAACGCUGGCGGCGUGCCUAAUACCUGCAGGUCGAGCGAACAGACGAGGAGCUUGCUCCUCUGACGUUAGCGGCGGACGGGUGAGUAACACGUGGAUAACCUACCUAUAAGACUGGGAUAACUUCGGGAAACCGGAGCUAAUACCGGAUAAUAUAUUGAACCGCAUGGUUCAAUAGUGAAAGACGGUUUUGCUGUCACUUAUAGAUGGAUCCGCGCCGCAUUAGCUAGUUGGUAAGGUAACGGCUUACCAAGGCGACGAUGCGUAGCCGACCUGAGAGGGGUGACCGCCCCACCGGAACUGAGACACGGUCCAAACUCCCAAGGGGGGGAGCAAGAGGGGAAUUUUCGCAAAGGGGGGAAACCCGGCGGGGGAAACCCCGGGGGGGGAAGAAAGGUUUUGGGAUCGAAAAACUCUUUUAUAGGGAAAAAAAAAAGGUUAAAGAAAUUUGCACCGUUUUGCGGGAACUAAUUAAAAAACCCCCGCUAAACUCCGG